rnacentral:rRNA from 1 species
AUUGAACGCUGGCGGCAGGCCUAACACAUGCAAGUCGAGCGGAUGAGGGAAGCUUGCUUCCCGAUUUAGCGGCGGACGGGUGAGUAAUGCCUAGGAAUCUGCCUAUUAGUGGGGGAUAACGUUCCGAAAGGAACGCUAAUACCGCAUACGUCCUACGGGAGAAAGUGGGGGAUCUUCGGACCUCACGCUAAUAGAUGAGCCUAGGUCGGAUUAGCUAGUUGGUGAGGUAACGGCUCACCAAGGCGACGAUCCGUAGCUGGUCUGAGAGGAUGAUCAGCCACACUGGAACUGAGACACGGUGCAGACUCCUACGGGAUGCAGCAGUGGGGAAUAUUGGACAAUGGGCGAAAGCCUGAUCCAGCCAUGCCGCGUGUGUGAAGAAGGUCUUCGGAUUGUAAAGCACUUUAAGUUGGGAGGAAGAGUUGUAAGCUAAUAUCUUGCAGCUUUGACGUUACCAACAGAAUAAGCACCGGCUAACUCUGUGCCAGCAGCCGCCGCGGUAA